CCUACGGGCGGCAGCAGUGGGGAAUAUUGGACAAUGGGGGGAACCCUGAUCCAGCCAUGCCGCGUGUGUGAAGAAGGCCCUCGGGUUGUAAAGCACUUUCAGUGAGGAAGAACGCCUGGUGGUUAAUACCCAUCAGGAAAGACAUCACUCACAGAAGAAGCACCGGCUAACUCCGUGCCAGCAGCCGCGGUAAUACGGAGGGUGCGAGCGUUAAUCGGAAUUACUGGGCGUAAAGCGCGCGUAGGUGGCUUGAUAAGCCGGUUGUGAAAGCCCCGGGCUCAACCUGGGUACGGCAUCCGGAACUGUCAAGCUAGAGUGCAGGAGAGGAAGGUAGAAUUCCCGGUGUAGCGGUGAAAUGCGUAGAGAUCGGGAGGAAUACCAGUGGCGAAGGCGGCCUUCUGGACUGACACUGACACUGAGGUGCGAAAGCGUGGGUAGCAAACAGGAUUAGAUACCCGGGUAGUC
rnacentral:rRNA from 1 species